UACGGAGGAUGCAAGCGUUAUCCGGAAUGAUUGGGCGUAAAGCGUCCGCAGGUGGCUGUGUAAGUCUGCUGUUAAAGAGUCUAGCUCAACUAGAUACAAGCAGUGGAAACUACACGGCUAGAGUACGUUCGGGGCAGAGGGAAUUCCUGGUGUAGCGGUAAAAUGCGUAGAGAUCAGGAAGAACACCGGUGGCGAAGGCGCUCUGCUAGGCCGUAACUGACACUGAGGGACGAAAGCUAGGGGAGCGAAUGGG
rnacentral:rRNA from 1 species